GAGGGGGCAAGCGUUGUUCGGAAUUACUGGGCGUAAAGGGCGCGUAGGCGGCCUGCAAAGUCGAACGUGAAAUCCCCGGGCUCAACCCGGGAACUGCGUCCGAGACUGACAGGCUUGAAUCCGGGAGAGGGAUGUGGAAUUCCAGGUGUAGCGGUGAAAUGCGUAGAUAUCUGGAGGAACAUCGGUGGCGAAGGCGGCAUCCUGGACCGGUAUUGACGCUGAGGCGCGAAAGCCAGGGGAGCAAACGGGAUUAGAUACCCCGGUAGUCCUGGCCCUAAACGAUGAAUGCUUGGUGUGGUGGGUAUCGAUCCCCGCCGUGCCGAAGCUAACGCAUUAAGCAUUCCGCCUGGGGAGUACGGUCGCAAGGCUG
rnacentral:rRNA from 1 species